rnacentral:rRNA from 1 species
AUUGAACGCUGGCGGCAGGCCUAACACAUGCAAGUCGAACGCAUCGCAAGAUGAGUGGCGCACGGGUGAGUAACACGUGGGAAUGUACCCUUUGGUUCGGAAUAACGUUUGGAAACGAACGCUAAUACCGGAUGAGCCCUACGGGGGAAAGAUUUAUCGCCAAAGGAGCAGCCCGCGUCUGAUUAGCUAGUUGGUGGGUAAAGGCCUACCAAGGCGACGAUCAGUAGCUGGUCUGAGAGGAUGAUCAGCCACACUGGGACUGAGACACGGCCCAGACUCCUACGGGAGGCAGCAGUGGGGAAUAUUGGACAAUGGGCGCAAGCCUGAUCCAGCCAUGCCGCGUGAGUGAUGAAGGCCUUCGGGUUGUAAAGCUCUUUCGCACACGACGAUGAUGACGGAAGUGUGAGAAGAAGCCCCGGCUAACUUCGUGCCAGCCGCCGCGGUAA